GUAAUCUUGGUGUUACUAACCCCUUCUUUGUAUAAGCUUGAAAGGUCAUUUGACAUCUCAGAGCUUUAGUAUUUUCAUCUGUAAAAUUUAAGAGUUAGAUAGGAUAAUUUUAAUGGUUAUUUCCAGCACCAAAAUUCCAGGAUUCUAAAUUGAAGUUGUGAUUUGGGGGAGUCAUCUCAAGAGGAGUGGUGGUUACAGCCCAGAUGUCAAUAAAAUCACCAAGGAGGAGAAAGUCAAGGGGAAGAUAUGAACCAUUGUGAAAGACUCUUAUCUCCCUCUCCUGCGUGGGGAAAGCAAGCCUACAUCUUAGCACAAUUGUGCUGACAAAGACAAAUGACAGAUGAAAAUACAAGAAGGAAACAAACAGAGCAGGCAUUUGGAUUAGGGAGUUCCAAGUACCCCCAUCUCUAACGCUCAGAUUACACUUUUUCUCCCACAGGAAGUUAAUGAAGCUGAGUCUGACCUGAUCAGAUUUAUUUGUACCUCUCCAGAAGGUCUGUCUGUCUCUCGUGAUGCUCUCUGUGUCUACAUCACAUUUGUGAGGAAAACUGGCCUGGCAGUUGGUGCAGGACCAUUGUUUGUGUUGCCCAGCUCUGCAACAGUAAGAGCUGGGCCAGGGAAAUGGCAGCUGCUCCGCUGGGCAAGGCAAUGGUGAGGGAUUGUUUUGAGAUAGCUUUGCAGUUGACACCAGACACAAAUCAUUAUUGUUUAUGAAGAUGCUUCCUCCUGUCAUUUAGCAUUCUACUGUUGGACAAGAAGAUUAAAGGACCAAAUGAACAUAGUUUUUGGUUUGGUGCUGUUCUUACUCAUAGCCAGAAUUUCAAGAAAGUGCAAUCCCAAACCAGCUAAUCUGUGUCAUGCAUUGUUGCUUUUAAGCUCCCCCAUUAACGGACUGUACUCAUCCAACUACUGAAGAAGGCCCAACUGUCCAAGACUUCCUUCUUUGAUUCAACAAACUAUCUAUAUACAGCCAUUUCACCUCAAUGGCAGUAACGCUCUAUUUUAUAAUAGUUAUUUUCUAUUAUUAUUAAAAUAUUGAUAUGGACCCUAUUCCUUCUCUCAAUUGAAUAAGAACUAGUACCUAUUCCAGUGUAUCAAAAAAUGUCAUUCUUAUUAGAACGCAAUAAACAGUUUGUUUAUUUCUGCUAUUCCUGACAUUUCUUUUGGAAUAUUAGUCUUAGGACAUUGUGGAAUUUUGAGUUUGGGUUAAAGAGGAUCUACUAUACAACAAAUUCCAUAAGAGCAAGGAAAUAUUUUCUAUUUUGUUCAUUAACACCUAGAAGUGGGCC
rnacentral:lncRNA from 1 species